CAUCGAUCUCUCUGUUCUCUCUCACUCUCUCUCUCUCUCUUUCUCCCUUUGCCUCUGGAAUAUUCCUCCAGUACCAAUCCAGAUCAUUUUUGCCAAAUGUCGAAGGCAGGAGCAUUCGAUCUCGUGUCAGGUGUGGGCGGGAAUAUCGAGAAGCGCGAUGCAUGUCCUCUCCGCCGUCGAUAAGUACGAGAAGUAUCAUGGCUACCAUGGUGGUGACGAGGAAGAGAGGAAAGCAAACUACACUGACAUGGUGAUGAGUGCUGCUCUGUCUUUACCAAUCUUUUUAUUCCAUGCAAUGGCAGAGUG